UACGUAGGGUGCGAGCGUUAAUCGGAAUUACGGGGCGUAAAGAGUGCGUAGGCGGUUCUUUGUGUCCGCUGUGAAAGCCCCGGGCUUAACCUGGGAAUGGCAGUGGAAACUAGAGAACUUGAAUCUGGCAGAGGGGGGUGGAAUGCCACGUGUAGCAGUGAAAUGCGUAGAUAUGUGGCGGAACACCAAUAGCGAAGGCAGCUCGCUGGGACGGUACUGACGCUAAGGCGCGAAAGCGUGGGGAGCGAACAGG
rnacentral:rRNA from 1 species